UACGGGAGGCAGCAGUGGAGAAUAUUGCACAAUGGGCGCAAGCCUGAUGCAGCCAUGCCGCGUGUAUGAAAAAGGCCUUCGGGUUGUAAAGUACUUUCAGUCGUGAGGAAGGUGUUAAGGUUAAUAACCUUAGCAAUUGACGUUAGCGACAGAAGAAGCACCGGCUAACUCCGUGCCAGCAGCCGCGGUAAUACGGAGGGUGCGAGCGUUAAUCGGAAUUACUGGGCGUAAAGGGCACGCAGGCGGUUAAUUAAGUUGGAUGUGAAAUCCCCGGGCUUAACCUGGGAAUGGCAUUCAAGACUGGUUAGCUAGAGUCUUGUAGAGGGGGUAGAAUUCCAUGUGUAGCGGUGAAAUGCGUAGAGAUGUGGAGGAAUACCGGUGGCGAAGGCGGCCCCUGGACAAAGACUGACGCUCAUGUGCGAAAGCGUGGGGAGCGAAACAGGGAUUAGAUACC
rnacentral:rRNA from 1 species